rnacentral:rRNA from 1 species
UACCUGGUUGAUCCUGCAGUAGUCAUAUGCUUGUCUCAAAGAUUAAGCCAUGCAUGUGUAAGUAUGAACUAAUUCAGACUGUGAAACUGCGAAUGGCUCAUUAAAUCAGUUAUAGUUUGUUUGAUGGUACCUACUACUCGGAUAGACGUAGUAAUUCCUAGAGCUAAUACGUGCAAAAACCCGACACUUUUGGAAGGGAUGAUUUAUUAAUAAGGUCGCGCCGGGCUUGCCCAGUUUGCUGCAGCUGAUUCAUGAUAACUCAGAGGAUCGCACAGCCUUAGCGCACCGAGCAUUCAUUCAAAAUUUCUGCCACAUCAUCCAAUUAUCGAAUGGUAGGAUAGUGAUGCUCCAUGGUGGUGGUGAGGUGAACGGAAGAAUUAGGGUUCGAUUCCGGAGAGGGAGCCUGACCAGAAAGGUACCAAUCCAAGGAACAGCAGGCGCGCAAUCACAUCUGAACACGGGAGGUAUGGACAUUAGAUCAAAAUACGGGAUCGAUCUGAGUCUGGUUAAUUGGAAUUGAGUAAAUCUAAAUCCUUAACGAGGAUCAUUGCUGGAGGGAAUGUUGUGCAGCAGGCGCGCGGUAAUUCCAGCUCAAUAGCGCUAUAUUAAGUUGUGUUGCAAGUUAAACAGCUCGCUAGUUGACUUUGAAUGAGCCGGCCGGUCGCCCACGGGGCUGACCGUCGUUCUCGCGUUACCUUAUAGCGCGAUGCGCUCCUGGGCUUAAUUAGGCAGGGGUUGACCUACCGGCAGCUGUCUAAUUUUUGAGAACAUUAGGACGUGCAUCAAGUCAAGGCCUACGCUCUGUAUAAUUAGAAAAUGCGAUGAAAUUAUAGGAUUCACGGAUCUAUUAGUUUGGCCUUCGGAAGUCGGCAGUAAAUGAAUUACAGGCAGUCCGGGGAAUUCGUAAUUCAUAAGUCAGAGGGUAAAUUCUUGGCAAUAUAUGAAAGACGAACAACGGAAAGCAUUGCAAGGAUGUUUUGUUGUUUAAUGCAGAACGGAAGAGUGGUCGCUCGAAGAGAUCCUACGUCUAGUCUCAACUAAACGAUGCACGAGGAUCGGGCAUGUUGCUUUAGGACUCGCCGGCCCUAUGAGAAUCAAAGUCUUGGUUUGGGGAGUUGUCGAGGCUGAACUUAAAGGAAUUGGGUAGGGAACCAACCGAGGGUGGAGAGCGUGCGGUUAAUUUGACUUCAAACAUAACCCGGAGGGGAAAACUUUACCAGGCAAGACUAAGUAAGAUUGCAGAUGAGAGCUUUUUUCGAGAUUUAUAUGAGGUCGGUGGGUGCAUGGACCUUCUUGUUGGAUGGAGCGGAAUUUGUCUGACGGUUAUUCCCGUUAAACGACGAGACCUCAGACUUGCCUAACUAGUAUAGCGCGGUUAUCCCUACCGCGGCAGCUUCUUAGAAGGACUACGGCAUUAUCAAGGCGCGGAGUGAGGCAAUAACGGUAUGUGAUUUGCCUUAAUGUUCUGUGGCGCACAGCGCGCCAUACAACUGAUCGUAUUCAAAGAGCAUAUCUGGACGACAGGCCGCGGUAAUCUUAUGAAUUCUCGUGAUGGGGUAGAUCAUUUCAUUGGUUGGUUUCAACGAGAAUGUUCCUAGUAGCAGGAGUAUAGCUACGCGUUGACUAAGUCUCAUUUUAACACCGCCGUAUGCGCUCCUACAUUGAUGAUCCGGUGAAGUGUUGGAUGCGGCGACGUGGCGGUUCGCUGCCCGCACGUCGCAGAGAAGUCCACUGAACUUUCAUUUAGAGGAAGGAGAAGUGUAAAAGGUUUUUGGUGAACGCGAAGGAUAAUUG